rnacentral:rRNA from 1 species
UACAGAGGUCCCGAGCGUUGUUCGGAUUCACUGGGCGUAAAGGGUGCGUAGGUGGUGAGAUAAGUCGGAUGUGAAAGCUCGGAGCUCAACUCCGAAAUGGCAUUGGAAACUAUCUCGCUCGAGGGUUGGAGGGGGGACUGGAAUGCUUGGUGUAGCAGUGAAAUGCGUAGAUAUCAAGCGGAACACCAGUGGCGAAGGCGGCAUUCUGGACUAUUUCUGACACUGAUGAACGAAAGCCAGGGGAGCAAACGGG